rnacentral:lncRNA from 1 species
AAAAGAAAAAAAGGGAGGUGCGGAGAGAAAAAGGAGGGCAUUGGUAGCCCAAUCAGAGAAAAAAGGGAUAGACCAAGUAGGAAAGAAGGGGGAGAGAUGGACGAAUGAGAGACAAGGGAAAGGAAGGAAAUGAGGGGGAAAACCGGGUUUCCCUUUGACCCGCACGACUCGACCAAGCACCACGGCCAAAUUCGAUUAUUUUUCAGGCAAAUCAAGGUAAACCACUGCCUAGAAACAACUCCCUAGCAUUCCCUACUCCAUUUCCACCCAACAUUAGAAGGAAUUUGGUGGUAGUUUUAGGGAAAAAUGGACCGUGGCUCGUGUGGGUGUACAACGACGAUCCACAAAUCGUGAAGCUAACUCAGCCAAUUACCACCACCAAUAGGCUCCCCUCAACCUCAUGAACAAAGCCUAAGCAGUGUUGGAGGCGUCAGAGCGAGUAUGGAGUUGAAUCAAAGCACACCCAACUCUAGGGUUCCAAAUGUUUGUGGGCAAUUUCAUUUGUUUCCCGGAUGAAUAGGACUUCGGCCCAGGUAUGAAAAUUGGUUCCCUUAAUAAGUUCUACUUGGCUAUAAAAUUUGGUAAUUUUUGGAAAUAGUUGAAUUUUCCCUCGAGUUGGGAUAGCCGGCCGCUGCGUGGGUCAAGACCCCACAUGCCCUUCCUAGACUAAUUUGGAUACCUUGAUUUCAUAUGUGACGUCUGAUUGAUGAAAUCUCGUCGUAUGACUAUAGUUUUGAUAGAGACUGCCACUUGAUCAUUAUAUGAAUCGACGAUCCGACCGUUGAAUCGUCACUAAACUUUAUUAUGUUAUAGUACGCAAUAUUUGAGGACCAUAGGAACCGACGAAUUGGGAAUAUGAUGUAUUGAUCUUCCCAAAUUGAAUUUCUAAAUUUCUAAGACCAAACAUUAUAGCAACCUAAUUCUAGCAAUUGGCGAAGAUUUGACCGCUGGAUCGUUCCAAAAUUUUAGAAUAUUAUUCUAAAAGAUAAAUGAGACCCUUAGGAAGUUACGGAUCCAAAAUCCAUGGGCAAAUGUUCCAGAUUGGCUUGUAUAGGGUUGUGGACACCACCGUUGACAGAGACUUGACCUUUGUUUAAUAUGUUACGAAUUGAUUUUAAAUAUUAAAAUUAGUAUUACUAGAGACUAUGUAGGGCUUGGUAGGCCUAUAUUGGUUAGUGAGUUAUCCCAGAUAAUUUAUAUCUCGGUUCACGUAUAUGGGAUGUCUUAUUGUGAUAUAUAUGUGUAGUUAUUUUCUUAAUAACAUAAAUGAUAUGUAUGAUAACUGUUAUGACAUUGUGAGCCUAAAAUCCAAUUAGAAGUGUGAUGUAGAACAUGUGCGACAAGGUAGUUAGUGGUCAUGAGAAGUUGAUAGGGCAAGUGCCUACGUUGUAAAUCAUAGGGAUUGAAGUAGGGGUAGAUUAUGUGUUGAACUGAUUGCACCAGGUAGCAGUGGUACUUGGAUGGUCCUACUUGGUAUAUCUGCGAUAGGAGACCAUACAUAUUUUAGGGGUGAUCAUGCUUGGUAUAUCUGUUAUAGGUGAUCAUCGCCUGCACGGUUAGACCAUGCUUAUGGUCCUGCUUGGUUUAUCCGCAAUGGGGGACCAUACGCAUUCUAGGAGUGAUCAUGCUUGGUUUAUCCGUGAUAAGUGACACUACCUUGAGUUAGGAUGUGGUCCUGCUUGGUAUAUCCGCGAUAGAGGACCACACGUUAGACUAUGCCUAUGGUUUUGCUUGGUUUAUCCGCAAUAGGGGACCAUAUGCAUUCUAGGGGUGAUGAUGAUUAGUUAUACUUGGUACAUUUCGACAAGCGUCCUUAUUUUAGUUGGAUUCCAUUGAAAGGUCCGGAAUCCCUACUCUUGCUCAUAUCCAUAAGGUUAGUCUAGCCUUAGAUUCGAGUGAAUAAUAAUUGCUCACAGUAGGCAUCGUGUUUAUAAAUUAGAUUUACCAUGUUAUUAUUUAUAAUCUAAGUGGGGAAUUGUAUAGACUUCUUUUAUUAAAUUUUGUGAGGUGAUACAUGAUCAUUUUGAUUGAUUAACGUAAUUAAAUGUUAAUAUCGUGCCUCCUUGAUUCAUGGAAUUGGUUAGUUGAAGUGAUUGUGGAAUGAUGUUGGAUAAAAUUGUUAUUAAUAUGAUUAGAUUAGUUAAUGAAUGUGAUUAGAGGAAAAUAUUGUGCUUUGUUGAUCCUUUGAUAUGUUACAUGCCUUGGAUUGCAAUAUUAUGUUGAAAAUAUAGUGAUUUUAUGAUUGAUGAAAUGGAAAUCUUGAAUGUCAUGUGGGUUCGUUGUGUAGCUUGAAUCAAUUAAUUCAUGCUUGUCAAGUCCAAAUAGUUGAUUGAGGAAUGAUACGCUUUCCUUUUAAAACGUACUGGGAUAAGUGUCAGAGUUUAGUGAUUAAUGAACUACAAAUGACUUGAUCCCUAUUUAGGAUACGUAGGCAGUCUAAUGAGGAGGUUAGAUGCAGCCAUAAAGUAUACGAAAAAUUACUAUGCGAUUUGAUUCUCGAGUUAUGCUUUGCCAUAUCCCAGAGGCGAGGUAAGUUAACGAUACGGGUAUUUGGUGACGUCGCGUGUCGAGCCUGGAUGCAUGUCGGGAUUAGGGCGUGACAGCAUCCCUGUGCUUGGGUUCAUGACGGAGGUGGUCAGGUGAUGGAGCUCGUCGGAGUGCUAGGGUGGUGGUGAUGGCUACAAUGGGUAUACCACUGCCUGAGCUGUGAGUGCAGACAAAGAUAAAAGGGAGAAAGUUGGAGCCGAAAGAGUGAAACGAGGGAGAUAAGAGUGGAAGAGAGUUCGAGAGAAUCCCGAGAGUUGGGGGGAAAAACCGACACGCGAAAAAAAAGGGAAAGGAAAAGUGGGGUGUGGGCCCCACGAGCCUAAAAAAUUAAUAAAAUAAUAAAGAGAAAAUAUCUAGGAUAAUGAAUUUACUAAAAUGCCUUUGAGUUUCGUAAUUUCGUAAAAUCUUCACCAUAACUGCGAAUUCAAUUCGACUUGUGCCUACACAUUCGUAGCGACGAGUACUACACAAAUAUGCUAAAAGAAUAGGUCAUAUGUCUCUAUAUACGCUGGUCAACAGAAGUUAACAUUCUCGCCUCUAGGGCAUUUUGGUCAUUUUACACUUCUAGUAUUAAAAUAUCGUAAUCAAAUACGGAUCCUAACAAUCCCGCUGCUACACUCUUCUCCUCUACCACAUACAACCCAUAUUUGGGUGAUCCUCAAAGGUCCUUAUAGCCAAUUAUCUGGGCUUUCGGAUGGUCCCAAAACCACCUGAGUCUGUUAAUAGAUCUGCCCCUGAAAACAAUAUAAGCAUGCAUAUAAUGUAAAAUGGAGUACUUGUUUUGACCAUAAGUUCAUAAUUUCAUAUUUAUUUAAUUUAGCUUAUAGCCAAUAUUUACAUAGUUGUGUUUAUGCUUAUUAAUUCUAAUUUUUUACUAGAAAAAAAAGUAUAUAGCUAUUUGUUUUCGUAAAUAACAAUAUAUGUAGCUAUUUGCGUGCAUUCUGUCUCAUUUAAUACGUGUGCAAAAAGUGUUACAUAGUAGUUAGUACUACAAUUUAUUAUAAGUGCUAAAUUGCCCUGAUGAUUAUUGUUUUUCUUUCUAUCCCACUACGUCUUGGGUUUAAACGCUCCUCCUCCCUUUAAUGUAGACUAGUGUAAAAUAUCACAUGUAAUAAUAAAAUAAUAAUAAUAAUAAUAAUAAGAACAAUAAUAAUAAUGAUAAUAAUAAUAAUAAUAUAGUUUAUUGGUAUUCUUUACUUGUAAGUGAUUGUGACAGCCCGUCCCGAAAUAAUUAUUUUCGACGGCGUGAAAUUACUUAUAUACCCUUGGACAUUUUGUGUGGUGGUGUGGUAAGUUAGAUUUUGAAACAAUUAGUGCUAAGUCCUAUUAAUUUGGAACCAAUUAGGACUUAGAUGGCAUUUUCAUUGUUUUGAUUGGUGACCCAUUUUGGACCACACACACUCACCCUCUUCCCAUUUCCGUUGACUUCUCUCUCUCUUCUCUCAUUCGGAUUUCUGCCAUUUCUGUACACCUUGUACGGACAACCCUCAAACCCUUCAACCAGUCGCGGAUCGAAGACUUGAAGGUUGGUUUUGUGCUCUUUGUAAGCCCAGGAACACAUUGGUAACCUUAGUUGGUCGCGAGGACGUCGGGAUCUUGAGAAUCAAGAACCUCCGAUUUGAUGCACUAUUCAUGCACACGUAAAUGUGGAGUUUUUGGAAGAUUCUAAGGUUAUAGGAAGCUUUAGAUCAUCCUCACGAAGCUCGGAGAAGAAAAACCAAGCGAUUUGGACAUUGGGAAGUUGAGUUUCGAUAAGUUGCAGGUUUAGCUGGAUUAUUGAGGGAUUUUCCGACGAGUUCCGUUGGUUUUAGGGCUUUUGAAAGGUAUGGUUGUGUUCUAUUCGUCCUAAGCUUCAAUUUGGUUGAAGUUUCAUGAAUUUUGGUGGAAAAUUGGGUGAGAAAUGAAGGUUUUAUCAUUUUCCAGUUUUCCAGCGACGAUGACGACCGACGAGGAUCACCGGAGAAGAAAGAAGAAUAUUUCGUCAAAGUUGAAGGAAUAUUCCUAACAGAGGGUAACAACGUCAGGUAAUUUAGAUGAAAUAUUCCUAACGGUGGUUAGGGUUCCCUGCGCGUGGCCGCGCGUAGGGCCAUGCCCUUACCAGCGCGUGACGACUCCAAAAAUUAUUUUAAAAUCUUGGGCCUGUUCAUGGAGUUAUGUAGGUCUCGAUGGUAUAUUUAUAUACCUCAUUUGAGCAAUGUAUGAGAGGUUAUUAGCCAUUAUUGGUUAUGUGCUUAAAUUAACCUUUUUAUAGUUGUUUCACAUAUAGGGGAAACUUAUCCCGAGGACGAGCCCGGUCAAGUGUGACUCAGGGGCUACGACCCUUCGACAUACCAGUGAAUGGGCUUUUGGUUUUAAGUAUAUAUGUAUAUGCUUGGUAUCUUUCUUAAAAAAUGCAUUUAAAUGAGUUAUGACUUAAAUUGCCAUACCAAAUCACUACAAAACAAAGUGUCAUUAGCGAGGGUCAAAUACCGUUGGAAAAGGCAUUUUGCCGUCGCAAAUACUUAUUUCCGACGGGAAAAAGCCCUCGCUGAGCGUCGGAAAUUGUCUCAUUGGAAAUACUUUUGUUCCCACCAGCCGUUGGAAUUAAUGCAUUUUCGACACACAUGACUUGUUGUUAAUAGUUAUUUUUUAUGUUGGAAAUGAAUGUUCAAAAUGGCAAACUUAUUUUAUUUUCGACAUGGAAUUUUGGUCGCAAAUACUUAUAGAGUUGUCGAAAUUACUUUUCAAGUGACGACAAAUGUUUUUUGCGAUCACGUUUUUCCGACCAAACAAUUGUGUCAAAAAAUCUUUUUCCAACAAAAUCAUAUUUUUUUACGAGAGUUCACAAUCAUCGCAAUUACAAUUACCGAUCAUACAAGGUUGUCGAAAAUACAUAACGGCUUGACAGAAAUAGGCACAAAAACAUAUUUGCUAUGAUCAAGCAUCGUCGAAAAUAUGUACUUCCAACGGUGAAGUUUUGUCGGUAAUACAUAUUUGCAAUGGCAAGCUUCGUCGGGAAUAUAUAUAUUUUCGACAAUGAAGACUCGUCGAAUAUAUAUAUUUGCAAUGGUGAAGUUUCAUCGGUAAUAUAUAUUUCUGACGGUGAAGCUUCAUUGGAAAUAAAUAUUAAUGACCAUAUUUAGUCGUCGCAAAUUUUUUCAUAACCAAUAUUUGGUUGAAAAUGGGUUUUUCCUAUAUGAGCGUCUUUGUUAGAAAUGUGCACAUUAACGAGAGAAAUUUACAAUCGAAAAAGCUAUUAUUCUAUUUAUAAUUAAAUUAUAUAUUGAAAUUAAAAUAUGAUAAAAAUAGGUAUGUAAUCGUUACUAAUAAAUUAACCAAACCAUUGUAUUAAAUUUCUCAAUAUCCAAGCAAGAUUAUUCAUAAAAUUAUUUAAAAAAGAAAAUGGACAAUAGUUAAAUUGGAAAAAAAUACAAAAAGAACAAUAUCCCACGAAUAAAACCUAACAAGUUCAGAUAUUUGAUAAUAUCAAAAUGAAAGUAUGAUGCAUUACUAAUCUUCAUGUUGAGCAUCUGACCAACUUUCAACAUUCUCCUGUCAAACAAACAAUAAAGAGAGUAAGUAAAGAAAUAAUAUAUUAUUCAACAGUAAGACAAACAAUAAAAAUGAAAUAAAACAAUUUACCAUAGAAGCAGAUGGUCCUGAGCGCGCAUAAUUAUUUGAGUUGUUUGGCAUCAAUCUUUCAACUAAUUCUUGCAAAGAAUUCAACUUAUCUGUUAAAGUGUGGACUUGGUCCUUCAAUUGCUCAUGGCUUUCUUCACGUUCUAAGCACAUACGUUUAUUACAACUUUGGCUAUUUGAGGGAUAUGCAUCUUUAGUACUAAAGCCAACACCUACACCAAGAAGACGACCAUUGUAGCUUUUCUGAUGGCCAAGAACCCAGACUUGAUUAGGCAAAGACAAAAUCCCAUUGUAGCUUUUCUUUUUGUACAUAUAAAUUAAAAAUCCACAUAUAAAAUUACCUUGUAUAUUUGCAUGUUGGGUCUCUUGCAUUUCAUUGUCAUGUAGUUCAGUGGUGGUAUCAUGUUGGUUUAAAGAGAGUCUAGAUGACAGACGACGUGUGCUUGAUGAAUUUUUUUGGCUCCUUCCCUUUUUUGCCAUAUCUAUCAAUCAUACAAAUACAAGAAAAUUAGAUGCCAAUAGUACCGAAAGAUAGAAAAAUGAAAAAACGAAACCAUGAAAGCUAAAAUAAAAUCGACUAGAAUUAGGGUUUCAAUGGCAGAAGGCAAAAUAUAUACAUAAACCCUAAUUGUUAGAAAAUCCCAGCAGCCAUGAAAAAUGAAUAAAAUUGAAAUUUAAUAUAUACAUAAACCCUAAACUUAAAAUUGGCACAAGGAGAACUCAUUGUCACAAAACCUAAACUGGACGAACUAGACAAACAAGAUGACUUUAGGGUUACCUGUAUGCUCACGGUUGUGCACUUUGAAUAUUGAUUAUGGAGAGUUUUUGUUGCCUCCUCUGAAGGUUGGAGGCAUUAAUAUAAAUAAUGGCAUAGAUGCAACCCUAAUCUAAUCAAGAGUGUAGUUUCCCUCCUCUUUUUUUUUGGCUGUGGGCGGAACAAAUUUUAGGAAAUUUUUUUGGAAAUUGUGGGAGAAAAGGGAGGGACAUGCCAAAACCCUAAUUAAUUUGGAAAAAAACCAAACCGUCAAACUUACAUAAAAACAAGAGUUUGGGCGUGUGUGGAAUUUUAAUUAUUGAGAUUGAAUUUCGUAUUUUCUAUUCCAUUGAAAUAUGUUUCUAUGUGGUUUAUGAUUAAUUUGGAAAAAAACCAAACCGUCAAACUUACAUAAAAACCAAGUGUUUGUUGAAUCUGUCGUUUUGAAGGAAUACACAUUCUACAAAACUAGUUUCAACGAUCCAACCGUCAAACUUGUUUCUAUAUGCUUCAAGAUCACAUACGUAAAAAAUUGCAAAAAACGGACAUUCAGAUAUUAGGUAACGAGACGAGACCUUUUGACGGUUAUAAACGCAAACUCACGAUUUAACGGUGAUCUUAACUCCGAUUUUGAUGAUUUUUUACAAAUACACUCCUCAACCCUAUAAGACUAUGAUGAAUGAAUUCGAUCUUCAAUUUAAAAUAUUUGCACUAGUGGACACCACAAAUUAUUAUGUUCAACUUAAUGAAAGUAUAAAAUAAACUCCAAGUGUUUGUUGAAUCUGUCGUUUUGAAGGAAUACACAUUCUACAAAACUAGUUUCAACGAUCCAACCGUCAAACUUAUUGGUAUAUGCUUCAAGAUCGCAUCAGUCAAAAAUUGCAAAAAACAGAUAUUCAGAUAUUAGGUAACGAGACGAGACCUUUUGACGGUUAUAACAAAGUUGAUAAGAAAAUGCUUUUGUUGGCUCUCGGUCCGGAAAGGCGAGUAAAAUAUUAUCCUGGUUACUAUAUGAGUGGGCUUAGGUUUCAUACAUUGCAACGUGAUGAGAAUAAAAAAACACAAAAUUGUGGAGUUAUGGUUAAGGGGGAGAAUCAGAUUGAUAGUGUGUCUUGGUAUGGAGUAUUAAAAGACGUGGUUGAGCUUCGUUACACAGAAGGCAAUAGAGUUGUAUUGUUCAAUUGUGAGUGGUAUGACAUUGUGCGAAAAGGAACAGGUUAUAAGAUAGAUCGUUAUGGAAUAAUUAGUAUUAAUACAACUCGCAAGUUGAAUACUAAAGAGCCAUUUGUGCUGGCAAACCAAGCAACCCAAGCUUUUUAUGUGAGAGAGAUUAAAAAUAAGGCUUGGAGUUACGUGGUGGAAACGAAGCCUAGAAAUGUUUAUGAGAUGCCUAAUGUUGAUGAUGAUGAUGAGCCAUACCAAGAAGAAGAGGCGCAUGGGGGUAUUCAAGCCAACCAAAAUGAUGACGAAGAUGAUGAAAUUGUGGGAUAAGCUCUCAUUGUGAUUGUGUUUUUUUUUUAUCUGAAAAUUUAGUUGCGGAAGUGAUGUGGUUAUACUUUGUUCAAUGUCAAUGACAAAUGUUAUGAUUUAACAAAGGCAUGCAAAUUAUUUCUUUAUCAUAGAAUACUAUAUUAAGUUUAUACACUUUUUUUCUCAAUGGUUUUAUUUUUAAUUUAAUGGUCCAAUUUUCUCCAUAUGUAUUCUAAGUUAUAUGAUCUAUUUAUUGUAGAAUUUAAAUUAAGCAUCAAACUUAUUUCAAGAAUAUUCAAACGACACAUGUGACCUUUAGUAAAUAAUUGAUUCCAACAAAACCAUAUGCCUUAAAAUUUAUUCUGACAAAGAAAAAAUUUUGUCUGAAAAAUAUGAUUACUUCCGACAACAACUAAUCACCCUCGAAAAUAUAAAAGCAUUACCGAGAGGACUUUUUUUUCCCUCAAAAUGAUAAAAACAUUACCGAGAGGACUUUUUUUCCCUCGAAAAUACUAAAUCAAUUUCGUCCACAUGAGUAAACCUUCGGAAAUAACCAUUCUAUUUCCGAUAAGAACUUUACUUGUCGUUAAUACAACUGGCACCAAUUCUUCCCGCCAAACAAAAGUGCAAUUCCGACAAAACUUGAGACUUUUUCCUAGGACAUCAUGUGCGUUGGUAAUAAAAAUUUGUUUCAUGCCAUGUUACCGACGACUCAUAUUUUAUGGUCGCAAAAUGUGCUUUUUACGACGGUUUUUGGGCCCUCGAAAAAUCUUCGUCGGUAAUGACUACUUUUUUUGUAGUGAAGGAUUUACAUUUAGAAUUUGCAUAUGAUGUUUGCAUAUAUGUGUGUGUGUGUGUAUAUAUAUAUAAUUGUGGUGCUGAGGACGCUUAGGUAAGUCCCAGGUAAGUAUAUGAAUUGUAAAUGUGAAUAACGGUUGUGAUUAGUUGAGAAACAUUGAGCUCAUAAACCUGCAUUCCGGUGUUAAUGAUUUAGCCAGAGAUAUGGCAUAGGCUUGUUUAUAAUGUCACCUCCCAUACCAUAUGCUCACAUUGGAUCCAAGUUAGGUGCACAAUCCAAGUUAGGUGACUAGCGAUGUAUCGCACAACUAUCAUGAGAGCGUAGCAUUGAGCAUAACUAUAUUACACCCAGUCUUGUCAUACAGAGGGUUCCGACUCGUGUGCAGUGUAGUGCCAUAUAGGUCACUUAUAGUGACUCCGGCUAGAUUGAUUAAUGAGCUAUGAAUUCAACCGUUCAGACUUCUGCAGGGGUUCCGGCUAAUGUGUUGCUUUCCAAACUUAUUUUCACCUGAGUUACUUAUUCUGUUUUAUAUUUUGGCAUGGCAUAUUUAUGAUUAUGAAUAUGUGAAGCAUGAUUUGAAUGUAUAUAUAGAUGUAUUUAUUUAUAUUCUAUUUCUGGGAAAAAUUAUAUAUGUUUUACGGGGAGGGGUUAGAGCAUUUUGAUAAUGAAAUGGUUUUCAAAAGCUUUGUUUUUGCCCACUCACACUUUUUGUUUUGCGCCCCUCCAGGUGUUAGGUAGACUUGCUUUUGGUGGCAUUUGAGGAUCUCAGUAGUUCUGACAAAAUAUAAUAUUCGUAGGACAUCUUUUGGUACUGUAUAACUAGUACUUGUCCUACUGGACUGCAACUAGACUUUCUACGCUCUGAUUAGGUGUAUUUACACUUGUAUCUCAUUCCUAGCACUUUCUGCUUAUUAGUGCACAUUAAUUAGCGUUCGGUUUUUAUUUAUUCGUAUAUUUCAUAUCCUUAUCGCUUCCGCACUGUGCACAUGGCUACGUCACCCUCACGUGACGGCCAACACACCUUGAUUUUAGGUUGGGGUGUGUCAGUUUGGUAUCAGAGCCUAGGUUUAGCAGUCCUUUAUAGUUCAUGAAUAUUCUAAUCAUUGUGAUGUCUUCUGUCAGAACCAUGCCACCUCGUAGAGAGCCACGGUAACCAGCUGAGCCUUGUUUCCCUGAUAUUGCUCAAUUAGGGGAAGCUAUAGCUAAUGCCAUUCAGUCUUCGCGCCGUCUUCCUCAAAGGACACUUCUUGAGACUGUGUAUAAUCUGAAGCUGAAUCAUUUUAUGGGGAAUGAAUGGCAUGAAGGAGUGGAGAAAUGGAUAAAUCAUAUUGAGAAGACUUUUCAUGUAAUGCAGAGUCAGGGGAAUCUUCCUCCUGAUAGGUAGGUCAAGACGACUACUUGGUUUUUGGGUCCGGAACCUGCAUCUUGGUGGAGACAAGAGUCCUAUCAGCUGACCCUAGAGGAAAUUGCGAACUGGGAAGUGUUUAAACAAUUGUUUCAGAAAAGGUUUAUUCCCCCUGAGUAUAUUGAUCGCAAAAGUAAAAGUUUACUCAAUUAAAGUAGGGGAAGAUGACGGAAAAUGAGUAUUACAGAAGAUUCAUUGACUUGUCUCGCUAUCAUCCGGAGGUUUCUACUAAUCCAGUUGAAAUGCUUCGUCGUUUCAGGUUGGGUCCUAAGAAGAAAUGGUGUUCUAUAGCGACAUCGACUCCCAUGUUCCACUUACCAGGAGUUUUAUGAAGUUUUACUGCGGAUUGAGGAAGGUGAAUGUUAAUCAUCUCAAGAACCUCGUAAGACCCAGAGUUUUAAGAGAAGUGGUGUCAGUUCCCGCUCUUCUAGUGGAGGUUUAAGCUCUAAUGUGCAGAGGAGAGGUGGUAGAUUUUCUGGAGGCCUGAGAUUUCAAAAGCAGAGAGAGUUAGGUGGUUCAGGUACUCCUCUAUGCCGCAGAUGUAAUAAUAGGCAUUUUGGGGAGUGUAGGAGAGGCAGCAGUGAAUGCUAUACUUGUGGACAGAUGAGGCAUAGGGUUGCACAUUGCCCUCAGAAUCAGCAAAGGCUUUAACAACCUUCCUUACCACCACCUACGCCGACCCAUCAAGUUUCAGGACCUAGUGGUUAUGCCUAGGCGGGUUAUAGUGAUGCUUAUCAUUAUUAGGGUGAUGCUACUCCUUGUACUACAUGGCAGUAUCAGUACUCACAUGACCCUCAUUAUCAGGGUGGUUACCCUCAAUAUCAGGGAGGUCUAUGCCAAAUUAGCCACAUUCAGCAAGUGGAUCCCAGUGGUACCAGGGAGGAUAGCCCCAGCAGGUAGAGAUUGCUACUAGCAGUGCAGGAUCUUCGAGGCAGUCUGGUCAGCCAAGACAAAGACGAGGUAUUCAUGCUAAUAAAGGUCAUGGUGGACGACAGCAGAAUCAGGGACGUAUCCAUAACAUGACACUGCAAGAUGCUCAGAACAAUCCUGAUUUAAUCAUGGGUACGUUAAAUAUUCUUGGUCAUUUUGCUAGAGUAUUGAUUGAUUGUGGUGCUACGCAUUCUGUUGUUUCUCAUACAUUUGCUCAAGUGACGCAACCUCAUCCUACACCUCUAUGAUAUGAUUUAGAGUUUUCUAUGCCUAGAGAUGAGAAAUGUUAUGUUGAUCGGGUGUAUCUAAGAUGUCUAGUGAUGGUGGAAGAUGUUGUCAUGCCAGUUAACCUUAUUUCGUUAGACAUUGUUGAUUUUGAUGUGAUUUUGGGCACUGAUUGGUUACACUACAAUCGUGCCAAGAUAGAUUGCUAUGGUAAGAUAGUUACUUUCCAUCGUCAUGGAUUACUUUCCAUCAUCCUGGAUUACCUGAAGUUACAUUUGUAGGAGAGCCUAGCGGGGUGAGGCAUGGUGUUAUUUCUGCCAUGAAAGCCAAAAGGUUGUUAUCGAAAGGUUGUCAGGGAUAUUUGGCUUAUAUGGUGUUGAAUGAUAAUGCUCCUACUAGUGUGGAGGAUGUACGUGUGGUCAUGCAUUUUCCAGAUGUAUUUCCUGAUGAUUUGCCCGGAUUACCUCUAGAUAGAGACGUGGAGUUCACUAUUAAUUUGCUUCCAGGUACGGAUCCUAUAACUUUGACUCCUUAUAGAAUGGCUCCUGCUGAAUUGAAGGAAUUGAAAGUUCAGUUGCAGGAAUUGGUUGAUAAGGGAUUUAUUCAACCUAGUAUUUCACCUUGGGGAGCUCUAGUUUUAUUUGUGAGGAAGAAAGACGGAACGUUGAGUCUAUGCAUUGAUUAUAGGCAAUUGAAUUGGGUAACAAUUAAGAAUUGUUAUCCAUUGCCAUGUAUAGACGAUUUGUUUAAUAAACUUUGAGGUGCAUGUGUGUACUCUAAAAUUGACUUGAGGUCUGGUUACUACCAGUUGAAGAUUAAAAGUGAAGAUGUCCUUAAAACAGCUUUUAGGACUCGAUAUGGUCAUUAUGAGUUUCUUGUGAUGUCAUUCGGGUUGACUAAUGCACCAGCCACUUUCAUGGAUUUAAUGAAUCGAGUAUUCCAGCCAUAUUUGGACAGGUUUGUCAUUGUCUUCAUUGAUGAUAUUCUGGUAUACUCUAAGACUAGAGCAGAGCAUGCUAGACAUCUUAAAUUGGUAUUGAAAAGUUUGAGGGAACACCAAUUAUAUGCUAAGUUUAGCAAAUGCCAAUUCUGGUUAGAUCAAGUGGCAUUUUUGGGACAUGUUAUAUCAGCUCAAGGCAUUCAAGUGGAUUCUCAAAAAGUGGCAGUUGUGGAAAAUUGGGAGCAACCUUGAACCGUCACUUAGGUAUAGAGUUUUCUUGGCCUAGCAGGCUAUUAUAGACGGUUUGUUAAGGAUUUUUCAGUUAUUGCUUUAUCAUUGAUGAUGUUGACUAGAAAAGAAGUUAAGUUUGAGUGGGAUGAAAAUUAUGAGCAAAGUUUCCAGCAAUUGAAGUAUUAUCUCACUCAUGCACCUGUUUUGGCGCUCCCAAAUGAUAGUGGUAAUUUUGAGGUCUACAGUGAUGCUUCUUUGAAUGGUUUGGGUUAUGUAUUGAUGCAACAUGGUAGGGUGAUUGCUUAUGCUUCGAGACAGUUGAAACCUCAUGAGAAGAAUUACCCUACUCAUGAUCUAGAGUUAGCGGCUAUCAUCUUUGCUUUGAAGAUUUGGAGACAUUAUCUUUAUGGUGAGAAAUGUAAGAUCUUCAUAGAUCAUAAUAGUCUUCAGUAUCUUUUUACUCAGAGGGAUCUAAAUCUUUGGUAGCGUAGGUGGAUUGAGUUACUUAGUGAUUAUGAUUGCACGAUUGAGUAUCACCCUGGUCGUGCAAAUGCAGUGGUGGAUGCAUUUAGCAGGAAGACUUCAGCUAGACUUAAUGUCAUCUAUGAUUGUUAUGUUCCUCUUCUUCCGGAUUUGAGGUCCACUAGAGUGGAGUUAGGAGUGGAAGAUCGAGAGGAAGCCUUACUUGCUAAUUUUCAAUUCAGGGCAAUUUUAAUUGAUCGUGUGCUUGAAGCUUAGAUGAAUGAUGAAGAGACCCAUGAAAUAAUUCAAGAAAGGAAUCAGGGGAAGAAGAAAUAUUUCAGAAUUCGAGAAACUGAUGGUAUGCUUAUGCAGGAGAGCAGAAUGUAUGUGCCAAAUAAUGCAGAGUUAAAGAAAGAAAUCCUUGAUGAAGUGCAUAUUUCGGCAUAUGCAAUGCAUCCAGGAGGUACCAAGAUGUAUCAUACCAUUCGACCAUUUUAUUAUUGGCCAGGUAUGAAAAGAGAAAUUGCUAAAUAUGUGAGUAUGUGUGUCAUUUGCUAGUAUGUUAAAGCAGAAAGGAAGAAGCCGUUUGGGUUAAUGCAGUUGUUUCCCGUUCCAUAGUGGAAAUGGGAAAAUAUUACUAUGGAUUUCGUGUACAAGCUUCCUCAUACACAAAAUGGCUAUGAUGGUAUUUGGGUGAUAGUUGAUCGGCUCACUAAGUCAGCACAUUUCAUUCAAGUGAGGGAAAAAUACUCAUUAAGCCGAUUCUGUGGAAGAGGCUACCUGGGAGAUAUAAGAUCGAAUGAGAAAGAUGUAUCCAAGGUUGUUUUAUAAUUAUUAAUGGUUUGUAAUUGCUGUGUAGAAAUAUUGAAGAAGAAAUUUGUUUUUUAAGGUGGGUAGAUUGUGACAGCCCGUCUCGAAAUAAUUAUUUUUGACAGCGUGAAAUUACUUAUAUACCUUUGGACGGUUUGUGUGGUGGUGUGGUAGGUUAGAUUUUGAACCAAUUAGUGCUAAGUCUUAUUAAUUUGGAACCAAUUAUGACUUAGAUGGUAUUUUCAUUGUUUUGAUUGGUGACCCAGUUUGGACCACACGCACUCACCCACUUCCUAUUUCUGUUGACUUCUCUCUUUCCUCUCUCCCUCGGAUUUCUGCCAUUUCCGUACAACUUGUACGGAUAACCCUCAAACCCUUCAACCAAUCGCAGAUCGAAGACUUGAAGGUUGGUUUUGUGUUCCUUGUAAGCCCAGGAACACAUUGAUACCCUUAGUUGGUCACGAGGACGUUGGGAUCGUGAGAACCAAGAACCUCCGAUUUGAUGCACUGUUCAUGCACACGUAAAUUUGAGUUUUUGGAAGAUUCUAAGGUUCUAGAAAGCUUUAGAUUGUCCUCAUAAAGCUCGGAGAAGAAAAACCAAGCGAUUUAGACGUCGGGAAGUUGAGUUGUGACGAGUUGCAGGUUUAGCCGAAUUAUCAAGGGAUUUUUCGGUGAGUUCCGUUGGUUUUAGGGCUUUUGAAAGGUAUGGUUGUGUUCUAUUCAUCCUAAGCUUCAAUUUGGUUGAAGUUUCAUGAAUUUUGGUGGAAAAUUAGGUGAGAAAUGAAGGUUUUAUCAUUUUCCAGUUUUUCGGUGACGGCGACAACCGGCGAGGCUCACCGGAGAAGAAAGAAGAAUAUUUCGUCAAAGUUGACGGAAUAUUCCUAAAGGAGGGUAACGACGUCAUGUAAUUUAGACGAAAUAUUCCUUUAUUUUGAUGAAAUAUUCCUAACGGUGGUUAGGGAUUCCGUUAGGGUUCUCUGUGCGUGAGCCCGUGAGGGCUCCAAAAAUUAUUUUAAAAAUUUAGGCGUGUUCAUGGAGUUGUAUAGGUCUCGAUGGUAUAUUUAUGUACCUCAUUUGAGCAAUAUAUGAGAAGUUAUUAGCCAGUAUUGGUUAUAUGCUUUAAAUUAACGUUUUUAUAGUUGUUUCACAUAUAGAGGAAACUUAUCCAGAGGAUGAGCGCAGUCAAAGGUGAUUCGGGGGCUACGACCCUUCGACAUACCAGUGAGUGGGUUUUUGGUUUAAAGUAUAUAUGUAUAUGAUUGGUAUCUUUCCCAGAAAAUGCAUUUAAAUGAGUUAUGACUUAAAUUGCCAUGCCAAAUGAUUUACAUUUAGAAUAUGCAUAUGAUGUUUGCAUAUAUAUAUAUAUAUAUAUAUAUAUAUAUAUAUAUAAUUGUGGUGCUGAGGACACUUAGGUAAGUCCCAGGUGAGUAUAUGAAUUGUAAAUGUGAAUAACGGUUGUGAUUAGUUAAGAAACAUUGAGCUCAUAAACCUGCACCUUGGUGUUAGUGAUUUAGCUAGAGAUAUGGCAUAGGCCUGUUUAUAAUGUCACCUCCCGCACCAUAUACUCACAUUGGAUCCAAGUUAGGAGCAUAGUCUUGUCAUACAGACCAUCAUAGGUGGUUCUGACUCGUAGGUGACUAGCGAUUUAUCGCCCAGCUAUCAUGAGAGCGUAGUAUUGAGCAUAACUAUAUUACACCAGUCUUGUCGUACAGACCUUUAUAGUGGUUCCGACUCGUGUGCAGUGUAGUGCCAUAUAGUGAUGUAUCGUACAACUAUCAUGAGAGCGUAGCAUUGAGUAUAACUAUAUUACACCCAGUCUUGUCGUACAGACCCUUACAGUGGUUCCGACUCGUGUGCAGUGUAGUGUCGUAUAGGUUCGGCUAAUAUGUUGCUUUCCAUGAACUUAUUUUCACCUGAGUUACUUAUUUUGUUUUAUAUUUUGGCAUGGCAUAUUUAUGAUUAUGAAUAUGUGAAGCAUGAUUUGAAUAUAUAUAUAUAUAUAUAUAUAUAUAUAUAUAUGUAUAUAUUUAUAUUCUAUUUCUAGGAAAAAUUAUACAUGUUUUAUGGUGAGAGGUUAGAGCAUUUUGAUAAUGAAAUGGUUUUGAAAAGCUUUGUUUUUUCCCACUCACACUUUCUGUUUUGCGCCCCUCCAGGUUUUAUGUACACUUGCUGUUGGUGGCAUUUGAUGAUCUCGGCAGUUCUGACAAAAUAUAAUAUUCGUAGGACAUCUUCUGGUACUGUAUAACUAGUACUUGUCCUACUAGACUGCAACUAAACUUUCUACGUUCUGAUUAGGUGUAUUUACACUUGUAUCUCAUUAGCACUUUCUGCUUAUUAGUGCACAUUAAUUAGCGUUCGGUUUUUAUUUAUUCUUAUAUUUCAUAUCCUUAUUGCUUCUGCACUGUCCACAUGGCUACGUCAUCCUCACGUGACGGCCAACACGCCUUGGUUUUAGGUCGAGGUGUGUCAGUAAUGAUGUCACAAACAUUUCUUAGACAAAUAAUAAUCUUAAAAAUUAAACCAUAGUUCCACCGUUCAUGUUUAAUAGAAGAAAUAACAAUACAAGGUAGCAAGUGGCCCUUUACCACAGUGGUGGAAAUGAGUUUUUUUUUUUAUAUAAGAUACUGCUAGUCUAAUUCUUUUUUGAAAUAAUUGCCUUUUGUAAUUUUUAGUUUUUUUUUAAUAAAAGUAUCUUGGGCCAAAACGGCGGCGUUUUGGCCAAGUAAUAUUUAAAAAAAUAAUAAGAGUGAAAGGGUGAGGAAGUAGCACAAGUGCUGCGCACAUAACAUCCCUUGCCUUUUGCCCAAAUCCAAG